CUAGGUUCCCACCCAAGAACUUCUGCCAUUCCAACGAAUGAAAGAAGAAAAGGUAUCCCAACUUUUGAUGCUUGGAUUGCAAGUUCUCGGUGACCAAUGUGAAGAGCAUCAAAUUUUCCUAAAGCAACUAUCCCACCUAUUUAAACAAGAUUAAACGUUACAAUGCAAAAAAGAAACCAAUCUUGUUUCUCAAGGCAUAAAAGUGUUUCCCUGUGUAUGCAAAGAGAUGAAUGAAUGAUGAAUUGCAUGACAUGUUCACCUAAUGUAAUUCCAUCCAGGAUCACAGACUCAUAAGGACGAUGAAAAGUAUACAAGUUUUCUGGAUGGAGAAAGACAAGUAGACAAGAGUAGGCUAAUAGAUGGGAACAUUCUUGAGAGAACAUUCUGUUUAAUGCAACUCUUCAGACGAAUUUAAUCUAGGUGGAAUAAGUAUUUGUCAUUUUAGUUAGAGGUUUGGAAUUUCGAAAAUACAUAACUCAUAUCUCUGGCAGCUUAUUUGAUGGAGCAUUAGAUGCAACAAAAGCAGCCCAGUUACAAAUCUACCACAAGCUUAACCACUCAGAAUAAUUCCGCCAGCAUGCAAAGGGGCAGGUUAGCCGCUCACUUACAGGCCAAGGCCAUAAUUAGCCAAUAAGAAACAACCAGAAUGCGAAAGGGCAUGUAAAAAUUUGUGGAUAUAUUCAGCUUUUAGAUUAUGAAGUACCACUUUUUUUUUUUACUAUUAAUAUUGCAUCUAUCAAGAUCAUUUCAGCUCCCCACAUACCACAUGAAAAAAACUAGUAUUUUUUUUCUUUAUUCCUUUUGCAAAGCAUCAUAAACCAUGAUUGGGAAUCACUGCACCCCUCCAAAAUAAUUUUCCUUCCAUAAUUCUAGAUGUUCCAUUACAACAUCCUAUCUUGGUUCAGGCAUUUACUUAUAAAAUUAACUGAACUAGCUGUGAGAAUUGGAUCUGCCUAUCUAGGACUAGAUCUUGCCCAAGUAAAAGAAACCAAAAAGGUGCAGCUCAAAAAGAGUCAGAACCAUUUUCAAGUUUUAUCUCCACUGAUCAAAUGAGAAAGUACAAGAACUGCACUUCUCAAGUAUAUAUGACUAAGCCGAAAUGAAUGUUCUCUGAGAUAACUGUGUAGACAAGUUCCGGAUAGAUAUUUCUUAGUAUCAAGGGUCAAGUUGUUAGUUGAAACUGUUGCAGCAAACCAUUGAAAUCAACUAAACAUACAUGGAUCCUGUAAUUUUCCGUAUUUAAUUUGCCAGUGAACAUGUAAACUGCAUCCACCCUCCCCCCACUCCCAGCCCCAACCCAAGAACAGAAUAUAAAAAGAUUACAUUUAUCUUCAAAAAGAGAUAAAUAUCAAAUUGCUACAAAUUAACUGAAAAAAAAAAAAAUGUAAGACAUGUGAACAUGUUAACAAAAGGUCAUUUUUCUUCCUACUACUUGUAUGGUCAAAAUAAGAAUAUAAUCAACUUAAGAAGGGAAAACCUGUUCAGUAACUUCAUGACCAUAACAAAUUGCAGUAACGUCACCUGAAUAUAUUGUUUCUAAUCACGUGCUUGUUAACAGAAAAAUGAGGAAUAUUAGAAGAUUAAAAAAAAAAAAAGCUAAAAGAUUGAAGAGAACAAAGAGAAAACCUGCUAUUGGUGACAAUUUUUCAGGUGGAGACUCUUGACAAUCUUCAUUUUGGCUACCAGAAGAGAAUUAAAAAAUAUGCAAAUUACAUUAGAAUGACAGAAAAACCAUAACUGAGCAAUGCUAAACAUAAAUUUGCCACACUAUCAGAAGAUAGGUAAUCUUUUCAUCUCCUAUAACUCUAAGUAACCACCACAAGAAAUAUAAAUCAUUAAUAUGCUGACUGCCUAUACCACCUCUCUAUAACCAUACACAUUGUCAUUCUUAACGUAGCAUAAAAAUUCGAACAACAACAAAACACUCUUUGCAAGCAGGAGAGAAUAGUGCUGACAUUAAAAAAAUUUUGGUUUGAAAUCAAGCUAUUAUGUCUCAAUUCUAGAAUACGCAUUUGCGCAGACAAAUCAUUCGAAGCAGUUUCAUUUUUCUCCAUAAUCCUAGACUCUAUUCUAGAUAUUAAACUCACUUGAUAAGCAGCCUAAAGAACCUAAACAUCAACUGUUAUGUUUAAUUCGGGAAUUAGAACUUCCAUAUUGCAGCCAACAAAGCAUAAGUCACAGAUUUAUUUCCAAUUGCAUGUUUUCACAAGUAAUCAAGGUAAAUUAGGUAUUCUUCCACAGUUCUGCCGGGCCAAAAAGUUGAUGUUCUACAAUCCCUUAAUCUCAAUAGUAAAAGGUUCACAUCAAUUCACUUCUAACUAUUAAAUUUGCCAAUUAAAAGCCUAUCAAACCCAUACACAAAUUCCCCUAUUCGACACAAAAACUAAAACUCUCCUAUUGCAGCAGGCAAAUCAUACCGAAGUUUCAACAACAAUAUCCCCAGUAAUAAAAAAUUAGCACAUGCAAAAACAAUAUCAAAUCGUUGCAAAAGAUUAGGCAAAAGAAAAAAAAAAGAGAAAGAAUUCAUGUUACCUUAAACAACCUGGAAGAGGCGGACUUUUGGUGUGCUGAAUACAAUUAACAUAAGGGUCUCUCAAACCAUUAUCCCUUCUACAAUCAUCGUUGUUCAACAGAAAUCUGAACCUUUCUGUAGAAAAGGACAUGGCAGCUAAAGUAGCGGUAGAUGGUCUUACAAUUAAAGGGUGAUGGAGUUGCUUGGCUGUAAAACAAAAUUGGUGACGAGGCUUCUUCUUACUGCAAUUCUUGUAUUGUUGAUGAUGGUAGUGGUGGUUGAGAUAGCAGUUACAGUCUCGCAAGUGGUGGGAGAAAAUAGUGCGAGAGACACCCAACAUAGUAGCAUCAGAAACGAAAGUAUGGCG
rnacentral:lncRNA from 1 species